UACGUAGGGGGCGAGCGUUACCCGGAAUUACUGGGCGUAAAGAGCUCGUAGGUGGUUUGUCGCGUUGUUCGUGAAAACUCACAGCUUAACUGUGGGCGUGCGGGCGAUACGGGCAGGCUGGAGGCAGGCAGGGGAGAACGGAAUUCCCGGUGUAGCGGUGAAAUGCGCAGAUAUCGGGAGGAACACCGGUGGCGAAGGCGGUUCUCUGGGCCUGUACUGACGCUGAGGAGCGAAAGCGUGGGGAGCGAACAGG
rnacentral:rRNA from 1 species